UACGGGGGGAGCAAGCGUUGUUCGGAUUUACUGGGCGUAAAGGGCGCGUAGGCGGCCAGCACAAGUCAGUUGUGAAAUCUCCGAGCUUAACUCGGAACGGUCAACUGAUACUGUGCGGCUAGAGUGCGGAAGGGGCUACCGGAACAAAUGGUGGAGCGGUGAAAUGCGUAGAUAUCAUUUGGAACGCCAAUGGUGAAAACAGGUAGCUGGGGCUGUGCUGACGCUGAGACACGAAAGCCAGGGGAGCAAACGGG
rnacentral:rRNA from 1 species